ensembl:lncRNA
AUUUCAAUUUGCAAUUAGAUCAUUUUUAAAAAUGUAUUUUCAAUUUACUAUACAAUAUAAUAAUAUAGAAGUAACUUUAAAAUGAAUUCAAGGCAAACCAGGUAUUAAAAUUCAUUUUCUAUACCCGGGGUCCCGGGGCUGCUGGAGCCUAUCCCGGCCACUUAUGGGCGAAGGCGGGGGACAUCCUGGACAGGUCGGUAUUCAAAUGUCAUUUAUAAAAACAUCCAUAGUAGUUGAAGGACUGGGCGAUAUUUUUAACAUACUAACAUAUUAAAAUGAAUAAAUAGUAAAAAUUGAACAAACUGUCAGAUUGGUGCUUUAUAAUCAUAGACAAACAUAACGUGUAUAAAUUCACCCGUUGACUUCCACAAAAAUGACGCCAAAAGUGGGAGGGGCACGUUGACUGAACUUUACUCCACCCGCCUCAGAAAGACAAAGCAAUGUUUUAAGCCAUUUCACCUGCCAAUCACAAAAAUAUACCUCCCAAAUAGGAAGCACUUUAAGCUAAAAUGACUACAAAGUUAUCUUCUAACAAUAAUUUAAAAACAAACACACACCAACAGCUUUAGAAGCCAAAAAAGCUUAAUUUUGACAGUAAAGACCAACUUUUUGAUAUGGGAGCAAAAAGAGUCACUGCCUUUGGAAACCUGCCCCCAGUGGUCUUUGCAGGAACUGCAACAUUUGGUGAGCAGGAGGUCUACAUCAGGGGGUGGGCAAACUUCGGGUCUUGUGGACCACAAAGGGUUCUAAAAUUUCACAAAAGUGAAAAGCAACAUUUUCCUUAAAAGAAAUGUUUAGGAGUAUUAUAACAAUGCAAUCCUAAAGUGAGUUUUUAACGCUCCGAUCAUGGUUCAAGUCUGCAGUUUUCACCUAAAUAAUUAAAGAGACGAGGAUCUCUGGGUUAUUGAUACCAUCACAGUAGAUGAUCUGCCAGCCAAUAACUUCCUGAUGGUGCUGGGACCUUCUCCUCAGCAUGCAGAGGAGCUCACGUCUGAUCCUGACGGACCAGAAGGUGACGCUUCAGCAGAUCACGGCGGCAGCAGAGGACUCGCUUCGAUGCUUCCAGCAGGUGUCAUCCACCUGAGAACCAACCUGCCGCACCAAAACCCCAUUUCCACGUCUGUCAGGAGCGUGAGGAGCGCUCCAGCCUUUAAUCUGAACUUCAGCGCACGUUUCUGCAGCACAAAUCUGAUGUCGCAUCUGCAGGUGAAGAGCUCACGAGAUGGGAACCAAAGAAACCAGAUGCUGGAAUAAUCCUGGAGAGAUGAUGAUGAAGAGGAGGAUGAGGAGGACCAUCAGAAGUUGCUGUCAGAGCAGAAAUGACUCCAGAUGUUGACAGCAGAUUGCAGAACCCCUGCAGAGGCGUCCGAACAACUGGAUGGCUUCGCCUGAGGGGGCACGAGGCAAAGGGCGCAGCACCUAAGCAGAGGGCGCGCGACUGCCACCAACAGACCCCCCCUCCCCGCCCCAAGAAAAAAUGCGUUUGAGAUUAUUAUUUUUUUUUCUUGAAAGCAUCCGCACCCCCCAGGAGCGGACUCUCCCCAAAGCCGGAGUUCUCACUCCUCUGCACCGCCUGCAGACACGAGACCGGCCGUGGAGGACAAGUUUGGCUUAACACCGCUUACCUCCAUGCGCGCGCGGGCCAGCGGGGAGGGUUUUUUUUUUAGGGGGGGGGGGUACAUGUCGUAUCCCUCCUGCUCUUCGUGCUGAAUCGCAGUCUCUCGCCCCCCGUGAUCCUCUUUCUUUUCUUCUCCUCACCACCAGCGCGCCUUUACGCAGCCCCACCAAAACAAAUCCCGCGUGCGUUUCGCCGCGUGUCCCCCCAGCAGCACGCGGCGUCGAAGCUGGCGCGUGGCUCUCCGACUCGCUAACAAGUUGUCAGGUAAGUCCAGACUCACCUGAGGGGGAGGAUGCAAGGGGGAGAUGGGGGUGGGGGCAU